rnacentral:pre_miRNA from 1 species
AAAGUACUCCCUCCGUUCGGAAUUACUUGUCGCAGAAAUGGAUGUAUCUAGACGUAUUUUAGUUCUAGAUACAUCCAUUUUUGAGACAAGUAAUUCCGAACGGAGGGAGUACGAG